ACUCCUACGGGAGGCAGCAGUUAGGAAUCUUCCACAAUGGGCGAAAGCCUGAUGGAGCGACACUGCGUGAGGGAUGACGGCCUUCGGGUUGUAAACCUCUAAAACGGGGACGAAUAAUGACGGUACCCGUUGAAAAGCACCGGCUAACUCCGUGCCAGCAGCCGCGGUAAUACGGAGGGUGCAAGCGUUAUCCGGAAUCACUGGGCGUAAAGGGCGCGUAGGCGGUUCACUAAGUCCGAUGUUAAAGACCGGGGCUCAACCCCGACACGGCGUUGGAUACUGGUGGGCUUGACGGCUGGAGAGGCGAGUGGAAUUACCAGUGUAGCGGUGGAAUGCGUAGAUACUGGUAGGAACACCCAUUGCGAAGGCAGCUCGCUGGACAGCACGUGACGCUGAGGCGCGAAAGUGUGGGGAGCAAACCGGAUUAGAAACCCCAGUAGUCC
rnacentral:rRNA from 1 species